rnacentral:rRNA from 1 species
AACAGGCGGUUGCAUAUACAUGCAGUCGAGCGGACAGAUGGGAGCUUGCUCCCUGAUGUUAGCGGCGGACGGGUGAGUAACACGUGGGUAACCUGCCUGUAAGACUGGGAUAACUCCGGGAAACCGGGGCUAAUACCGGAUGGUUGUUUGAACCGCAUGGUUCAAACAUAAAAGGUGGCUUCGGCUACCACUUACAGAUGGACCCGCGGCGCAUUAGCUAGUUGGUGAGGUAACGGCUCACCAAGGCAACGAUGCGUAGCCGACCUGAGAGGGUGAUCGGCCACACUGGGACUGAGACACGGCCCAGACUCCUACGGGAGGCAGCAGUAGGGAAUCUUCCGCAAUGGACGAAAGUCUGACGGAGCAACGCCGCGUGAGUGAUGAAGGUUUUCGGAUCGUAAAGCUCUGUUGUUAGGGAAGAACAAGUACCGUUCGAAUAGGGCGGUACCUUGACGGUACCUAACCAGAAAGCCACGGCUAACUACGUGCCCCCCCCCCCCGGUGUUAAA